GGAUGGGGUUGCUCAGCCAGCCAAAACACCUGGAGAAAACAGCAGGAAUAACACAGGGCUUGGCUUUCCCAGCUUCAACCAGAGAUUUUUUUCCACUUCUUCUAUACAGUGGUUGUGAGCUCUUUUCUUCCAGACCUCGCAUUGUUGUGACUGUCCUUACCUUACUCUCAUGGCUGGAAUUGAUCCCUACAAGGCACCUUAAAGGACCCAGAUGCAGAAACCUUGGUUGUAUUUGACAGCCAGUGUAUGACAGCAUGGCCACACGCUGCUUAUAUAUAUACUGGAAUGCGGUUUCAGAGCCUGCAAGCCAUGAGAAUGAUUGCCCCCAGCCAGCACACCCAUGGCUGGAUGCUUUUGGAUAAAAGCAGUGCUGUCAUGCAUGCCCCACAGCACAGGGUCUCCUACAGAUGGAAGCAGAGCUUUGCAAAUUCAAGUAUUUCGGGGAAAUGAGCCAUAUCCCUGUUUUAACUGGCUAUAUCUGGAAAGAGAAUUGGCAACGAGGUGGAUUAUGUUGGCUGGAAAGAGCAGCCUCUCCCACAGGACCGGACAGAGUCUGAGAUGAUGAGGAAAUAGGCCAAAGAGAAGCCGCAGCGCAGAGCAGACUGGUGUUCCCUGUUCCCACGGAGAAGCUGACCCAUGAGAGAUGCUAGUCAUCCAGCAGCUGGGAAAGCUGCCUCUGCAAGAGCUGAAGCAGCUCAGAGCUCUGCAGAAAGAGCUCCAGUGGUCCUGGCCAUGAGGCUUUUUCAUCUACAAGAUCCAGGGAGCCCAAGUUCCCACUCACCCCUUCCAGGACCCUCCAGGACAUGCAAGACACCACUGCUAUGGGAAUGACCCCAGAGAUGGCCAC
ensembl:lncRNA